UACGUAGGAUGCAAGCGUUGUCCGGAUUUACUGGGCGUAAAGCGCGCGCAGGCGGCAGGUUAAGUAAGGUGUGAAAUCUCCCUGCUCAACGGGGAGGGUGCACUUUAGACUGACCAGCUAGAGGGCGGUAGAGGGUGGUGGAAUUGCUGGUGUAGCGGUGAAAUGCGUAGAGAUCAGCAGGAACACCCGUGGCGAAGGCGGCCACCUGGGCCGUACCUGACGCUGAGGCGCGAAGGCUAGGGGAGCGAACGGG
rnacentral:rRNA from 1 species